GAUGAACGCUGGCGGCGUGCCUAAUACAUGCAAGUCGAGCGAACAGACGAGGAGCUUGCUCCUCUGACGUUAGCGGCGGACGGGUGAGUAACAUGUGGAUAACCUACCUAUAAGACUGGGAUAACUUCGGGAAACCGGAGCUAAUACCGGAUAAUAUAUUGAACCGCAUGGUUCAAUAGUGAAAGACGGUUUUGCUGUCACUUAUAGAUGGAUCCGCGCCGCAUUAGCUAGUUGGUAAGGUAACGGCUUACCAAGGCAACGAUGCGUAGCCGACCUGAGAGGGUGAUCGGCCACACUGGAACUGAGACACGGUCCAGACUCCUACGGGAGGCAGCAGUAGGGAAUCUGCCGCAAUGGGCGAAAGCCUGACGGAGCAACGCCGCGUGAGUGAUGAAGGUCUUCGGAUCGUAAAACUCUGUUAUUAGGGAAGAACAAAUGUGUAAGUAACUAUGCACGUCUUGACGGUACCUAAUCAGAAAGCCACGGCUAACUACGU
rnacentral:rRNA from 1 species